GAGGAUGUGGCUCAGUUGGUAGAAUACUUGCCUAGCAAGCAUGAAGCCCUGGGUUCAGUCCCCAGCACCUCA
rfam:Cricetulus griseus cell line CHO-K1, whole genome shotgun sequence.